rnacentral:rRNA from 1 species
UACGGGGGGAGCAAGCGUUGUUCGGAUUUACUGGGCGUAAAGGGCGCGUAGGCGGCCACUGCAAGUCGGUUGUGAAAUCUCCGGGCUUAACCCGGAAAGGUCAACCGAUACUGCAGGGCUAGAGUGCGGAAGGGGCAACUGGAAUUCUCGGUGUAGCGGUGAAAUGCGUAGAUAUCGAGAGGAACACCUGCGGCGAAGGCGGGUUGCUGGGCCGACACUGACGCUGAUGCGCGAAAGCUAGGGGAGCGAACGGG